rnacentral:rRNA from 1 species
UAGCUUAACCUUCGGGAGGGCGUUUACCACGGUGUGAUUCAUGACUGGGGUGAAGUCGUAACAAGGUAACCCUAGGGGAACCUGGGGUUGGAUCACCUCCUUACCUUAAGAUGUCGUGUUGUUGAGUGUUCACACAGAUUG